AACCCUUUUUCCUUUUUAAUAUUCUCAUAGGUUUUGAUGGAUUUUUUUUUUUUUGGGUUAUUCUCUUUUUUUUUUCAUGUCGAUUGUUCUUGUUCCAUGCCGUGAAUCACGAGACCCUUGUAACUCCAAAGAGCUCCUAUGACUCUCAGCUUCAAUGGUAGUAUGAUUGGCAGCUUCAAUGAUGGCAUGAUUGACGGUAUCUUAUUCACACAGAUGGGAACAACUCCUGGGCUUAAACCAAGUUACUUAUAAUUAUUUUAGGUUGGAUUUUUGUUGGGUUUCAUUUGUUGAGUCUGAAUCUUGAGCUUGCAAUUAAUUUGAUUUGUAAUUGGGCUUCAAAGAUGUAAAUGGACUUUAGACACUUAAAUUUG